UACCUGUCGGGUAGAUGCGGUACGCCCGUGUUUAAUAUUAUAAGAGUUAUUAUUAUUAUUAUUAUUAUAGUAUUAGUACUUAUUACUAUCGUAAUGUACGUCGUUAUCGAGUGUGUGUGUGUGUGUGUGUGUGGCUACUUAUCAAAAACGCCCUCGACCGUCUGUCGUCCGGUCCGGUAA